GAGCAGCACGCCGCGUGGAGGAUGACACUUUUCGGAGCGUAAACUCCUUUUCUUGGGAAAGAAUUAUGACGGUACCCAAGGAAUAAGCACCGGCUAACUCCGUGCCAGCAGCCGCGGUAAUACGGAGGGUGCAAGCGUUACUCGGAAUCACUGGGCGUAAAGGACGCGUAGGCGGAUUAUCAAGUCUCUUGUGAAAUCUAACGGCUUAACCGUUAAACUGCUUGAGAAACUGAUAAUCUAGAGUAAGGGAGAGGCAGAUGGAAUUCUUGGUGUAGGGGUAAAAUCCGUAGAGAUCAAGAAGAAUACCCAUUGCGAAAGCGAUCUGCUGGAACUUAACUGACGCUAAUGCGUGAAAGCGUGGGGAGCAAACA
rnacentral:rRNA from 1 species